rnacentral:misc_RNA from 1 species
AAGUCGUAACAAGGUUUCCGUAGGUGAACCUGCGGAAGGAUCAUUAACACGUAUCCAACGUUAAACAACCCCGUGAACUUUCAGCCUGCUCUUGCAUGCCAUGAUGAAACAGCAAUCCCGGUAAAUCAUCGCCAAAACAGUUUUGAUUCGGGACCUCUGUCAAGUGGGGUGCAAUUGAUGGCCUAGUGGUAACGCGCUAGGUAACUAAAACCGAACAACUGUUAACAAUGGAUAUCUUGGUUCUC